rnacentral:rRNA from 1 species
GACGAACGCUGGCGGCGUGCUUAACACAUGCAAGUCGAACGGUGAAGCGCCUUCCUUUUUGGUGGGUGUGGAUGAGUGGCGAACGGGUGAGUAACACGUGAGUAACCUGCCCCCUUCUUCUGGAUAACCGCAUGAAAGUGUGGCUAAUACGGGAUAUUCUGGGUCUGUCGCAUGAUGGGUCUGGGAAAGAUAUUGUUUCGGUGGGGGAUGGGCUCGCGGCCUAUCAGCUUGUUGGUGGGGUGAUGGCCUACCAAGGCGGUGACGGGUAGCCGGCCUGAGAGGGUUGACGGGCAGACUGGGACUGAGGCACGGCCCAGACUCCUACGGGAGGCAGCAGUGGGGAAUAUUGCACAAUGGGCGCAAGCCUGAUGCAGCGACGGCGCGUGAGGGAUGGAGGCCUUCGGGUUGUGAACCUCUUUCGCCAGUGAAGCAGGCCUGCCUCGUUUGUGGGUGGGUUGACGGUAGCUGGAGAAGAAGCGCCGGCUAACUACGUG